UGUGGUCAAGUUUCUAAGAGCAAACGGUGGAUGCCUUGGCAUCUGGAGCCGAAGAAGGACGUAGAAAUCUGCGAUAAGCCUCGGGGAGCUGAUAAUCGAGCCCUGAUCCGAGGAUUUCCGAAUGGGGAAACCCCGCUGGGCGCUUUUGUGACCUGGUGACUCCCGCCUGAAUAUAUAGGGCGGGUAGAGGGAACGUGGGGAAGUGAAACAUCUCAGUACCCACAGGAAGAGAAAACAACAUGUGAUUCCGUGAGUAGUGGCGAGCGAAAGCGGAUGAGGCUAAACCGAUCAUGUGUGAUAGCCGGCGGGCGUUGCAUGGUCGGGGUUGUGGGACACGUCACUCAGUUCUGCCGGACUGGGGCGGUUACAGCGCAUCAUAGUCGAACCGGUUUGAAAGCCGGGCCGUAGUGGGUGCCAGCCCCGUAGACGAAAUGGUGUUAUGGCCGGAUGUGUAUCCCAAGUAGCACGGGGCCCGAGAAAUCCCGUGUGAAUCUGUCAGGACCACCUGAUAAGCCUAAAUACUCCCAGAUGACCGAUAGCGGACAAGUACCGUGAGGGAAAGGUGAAAAGUACCCCGGGAGGGGAGUGAAAUAGUACCUGAAACCGUUUGCUUACAAACCGUCGGAGCCUCCUUAGUAGGGGUGACGGCGUGCCUUUUGAAGAAUGAGCCUGCGAGUUAGUGAUAUGUGGCGAGGUUAACCCGUGUGGGGCAGCCGUAGCGAAAGCGAGUCUGAAUAGGGCGUUUGAGUCGCAUGUUCUAGACCCGAAGCGAAGUGAUCUAUCCAUGGCCAGGUUGAAGCGACGGUAAGACGUCGUGGAGGACCGAACCCACUUCAGUUGAAAAUGGAGGGGAUGAGCUGUGGAUAGGGGUGAAAGGCCAAUCAAACUUCGUGAUAGCUGGUUCUCUCCGAAAUGCAUUUAGGUGCAGCGUUGCGUGUUUCUCGCCGGAGGUAGAGCUACUGGAUGGCCGAUGGGCCUCAACAGGUUACUGACGUCAGCCAAACUCCGAAUGCCGGUGAGUGAGAGCGCAGCAGUGAGACGGUGGGGGAUAAGCUUCAUCGUCGAGAGGGAAACAACCCAGACUACCAACUAAGGUCCCUAAGCGUGUGCUAAGUGGGAAAGGAUGUGGAGUUGCAUAGACAACCAGGAGGUUGGCUUAGAAGCAGCCACCCUUGAAAGAGUGCGUAAUAGCUCACUGGUCAAGUGAUUCCGCGCCGACAAUGUAACGGGGCUCAAGCACACCACCGAAGUUGUAGAUUUCGCACACUCGACAAGCCUUCGUGGUUCAGUCGUGCGGAGUGGUAGGAGAGCGUCGUGUGGCGAGUGAAGCGGCGGAGUGAUCCAGCCGUGGACGCUACACGAGUGAGAAUGCAGGCAUGAGUAGCGAAAGACGGGUGAGAAACCCGUCCUCCGAAAGACCAAGGGUUCCAGGGCCAGGUUAAUCCGCCCUGGGUAAGUCGGGACCUAAGGCGAGGCCGACAGGCGUAGUCGAUGGACAACGGGUUGAUAUUCCCGUACCGGCGAACAACCGCCCAAGCUAAUCCAGUGGUGCUAAGAGUCCUAACCCGGAUCAACCGGAUCCCUUCGGGGUGAUGGUGGCCGGUCUAACGCUCGACCCCAUGCUGGUGCGGUUAGCGUAUGAACAGGUGUGACGCAGGAAGGUAGCUGAGCCAGGCGAUGGUAUCCGUAAGGUGAACCUGGUGUAAGGAUGUAGGGCUGACGAUAGGCAAAUCCGUCGUCUGU
rnacentral:rRNA from 1 species